UGUGACCUCAAAUCAGGUAGGACUACCCGCUGAACUUAAGCAUAUCAAUAAGCGGAGGAAAAGAAACUAACAAGGAUUCCCCUAGUAACUGCGAGUGAAGCGGGAAAAGCUCAAAUUUAAAAUCUGUCAGUCUUUGGCUGUCCGAGUUGUAAUCUAGAGAAGUGUUAUCUGCGCUGGACCGUGUACAAGUCUCCUGGAAUGGAGCGUCAUAGAGGGUGAGAAUCCCGUCUCUGACACGGACUGCCAGGGCUUUGUGAUGCGCUCUCAAAGAGUCGAGUUGUUUGGGAAUGCAGCUCAAAAUGGGUGGUAAAUUCCAUCUAAAGCUAAAUAUUGGCGAGAGACCGAUAGCGAACAAGUACCGUGAGGGAAAGAUGAAAAGAACUUUGGAAAGAGAGUUAAACAGUACGUGAAAUUGCUGAAAGGGAAACGCUUGAAGUCAGUCGCGUUGUCCAGGGAUCAACCUUGCUUUUGCUUGGUGUACUUUCUGGUUAACGGGUCAGCAUCAAUUUUGAUUAUUGG
rnacentral:rRNA from 2 species